rfam:Solanum lycopersicum cultivar Heinz 1706 chromosome 6, whole genome shotgun sequence.
AGCCACGCAAUGAGCACAUAGCGAACUAUUCUUUCGCCUUUUACUAAAGAAUACCGUGUGAGCAUUGCACAUAGUGGCAUACGCCUAUUUUUGGAGGGAGUAAUCCCAACAAUACA